CCUACGGGUGGCAGCAGUGAGGAAUAUUGGUCAAUGGGCGCGAGCCUGAACCAGCCAAGUCGCGUGAGGGAAGACGGUCCUAUGGAUUGUAAACCUCUUUUGUCGGGGAGCAAAAGACGCCACGCGUGGCGUUCCGAGAGUACCCGAAGAAAAAGCAUCGGCUAACUCCGUGCCAGCGGCGGCGGUAAUACGGAGGAUGCGAGCGUUAUCAGGAUUCAUUGGGUUCACAGGGUGCGCAGUGGGAAGGUCAAGGCGGUGGUAAAAUGGAGAGGCUCAACAGCUGCGAGCCGUGGAACCUGGUGUUCUGGAGUGAGUUAGAGGUAGGUGGAAUGCGUGGUGUAGCGGUGAAAUGCAUAGAUAUCACGAAGAACUCCGAUUGCGAAGGCAGCAUACCGGCGCUCAACUGACGCUCAUGCACGAAAGUGUGGGUAUCGAACAGGAUUAGAUACCCGAGUAGUC
rnacentral:rRNA from 1 species